rnacentral:rRNA from 1 species
UGCAUGUCUAAGUAUAAAUAGUAUACAAGUGAAACUGCGAAUGGCUCAUUAAAACAGUUAUAGUUUAUUUGAUAAUUGAAUUCUACAUGGAUAACCGUAGUAAUUCUAGAGCUAAUACAUGCGAUUAAACCUGACUCUUGGAAAGGUUGUAUUUAUUAGAUAUCAAACCAGUAGUCUUUCGGGAUUAUUGUGAUGAUUCAUAAUAACUGAUCGGAUCAAGGAGUUCCUUGAUAGAUCAUUCAAGUUUCUGCCCUAUCAGCUUUCGAUGGUAGUGUAUUGGACUACCAUGGCAGUCACGGGUAACGGAGAAUUAGGGUUCGAUUCCGGAGAGGGAGCCUGAGAAACGGCUACCACAUCUACGGAAGGCAGCAGGCGCGUAAAUUACCCAAUCCUGAUUCAGGGAGGUAGUGACAAGAAAUAACAACUCGGGGCAUUUUUAAUGCUUCGGAAUUUGCAAUGGGAACAAUCUAAAUCACUUAUCGAGG